AGGGCACCACCAGGAGUGGAGCCUGCGGCUUAAUUUGACUCAACACGGGGAAACUUACCCGGCCUGGACACUGGAAGGAUUGACAGAUUGAGAGCUCUUUCUUGAUUCAGUGGGUGGUGGUGCAUGGCCGUUCUUAGUUGGUGGAGCGAUUUGUCUGGUUAAUUCCGAUAACGAACGAGACUCUAGCCUAUUAAAUAGGCUCUCGGCUUUUAAACGCCGGGAGGACUUCUUAGAGGGACAGGUGGCGGUUCAGCCGCACGAAAGAGAGCAAUAACAGGUCUGUGAUGCCCUUUGUUGUCCGGGGCCGCACGCGCGCUACACUGAAGAGAUCAGCGUGCUUUACGUUCCUGCUCCGACCGGAGUGGGGAACCCAGUGAACCUUCUUCGUGAUUGGGAUAGAAGAUUGUAAUUAUUCUUCUUGAACGAGGAAUUCCCAGUAAAUGCGAGUCAUAAGCUCGCGUUGAUUACGUCCCUGCCCUUUGUACACACCGCCCGUCGCUACUACCGAUUGAGCGAUUU
rnacentral:rRNA from 1 species